rnacentral:rRNA from 1 species
UCCGGAGGAUGCAAGCGUUAUCCGGAAUGAUUAGGCGUAAAGCGUCCGCAGGUGGCUAUGUAAGUCUGCUGUUAAAGAGUGAGGCUCAACCUCAUAAAAGCAGUGGAAACUACAUGGCUAGAGUGCGUUCGGGGCAGAGGGAAUUCCUGGUGUAGCGGUGAAAUGCGUAGAGAUCAGGAAGAACACCGGUGGCGAAAGCGCUCUGCUAGGCCGCAACUGACACUGAGGGACGAAAGCUAGGGGAGCGAAUGGG